rnacentral:rRNA from 1 species
UACGAAGGGGGCUAGCGUUGUUCGGAUUUACUGGGCGUAAAGCGCACGUAGGCGGAUAUUUAAGUCAGAGGUGAAAUCCCAGGGCUCAACCCUGGAACUGCCUUUGAUACUGGAUAUCUUGAGUGUGGAAGAGGUGAGUGGAAUUCCGAGUGUAGAGGUAAAAUUCGUAGAUAUUCGGAGGAACACCAGUGGCGAAGGCGGCUCACUGGUUCAUUACUGACGCUGAGGUGCGAAAGCGUGGGGAGCAAACA